GCUCAGUGGUAGAGCGAAUGCUUAGCACACAUGAGGUCCUGGGUUCAAUCCCCAG
rnacentral:tRNA from 1 species